rnacentral:rRNA from 1 species
UGGGGAAUAUUGGACAAUGGGCGCAAGCCUGAUCCAGCCAUGCCGCGUGAGUGAUGAAGGCCCCAGGGUUGUAAAGCUCUUUCAUCGGUGAAGAUAAUGACGGUAACCGGAGAAGAAGCCCCGGCUAACUUCGUGCCAGCAGCCGCGGUAAUACGAAGGGGGCUAGCGUUGUUCGGACUUACUGGGCGUAAAGCGCACGUAGGCGGACUUUUAAGUCAGGGGUGAAAUCCCGGGGCUCAACCCCGGAACUGCCUUUGAUACUGGAAGUCUUGAGUAUGGUAGAGGUGGGUGGAAUUCCGAGUGUAGAGGUGAAAUUCGUAGAUAUUCGGAGGAACACCAAUGGCGAAGGCGGCUCACUGAACAAAUACUGACGCUGAGGUGCGAAAGCGUAGGGAGCAAACAGG